rfam:Triticum aestivum genome assembly, contig: Triticum_aestivum_CS42_TGACv1_scaffold_406176_5BL
AACAUACUCCCUCCGUCCGAAAAAGCUUGUCCUCAAAUGGAUGUAUCUAGCACCAAGUUAGGAUGUAUCUAGCACCAAGUUAGUGCUAGAUACAUCUAUUUGAGGGACAAGUUUGGGACAAGCUUUUUGGGACGGAGGGAGUAUGAU